GGACUACAGGGGUAUCUAAUCCUGUUUGCUCCCCACGCUUUCGUGCCUGAAUGUCGGUGCUGGACCAGGAAGCCGCUUUCGCCACUGGUGUUCCUUCCGAUAUCUACGCAUUUCACCGCUACACCGGAAAUUCCGCUUCCCUCUUCCGCACCCUAGCUCGACAGUCUCGAAUGCAAUUCCCAGGUUGAGCCCGGGGCUUUCACACCCGACUUAUCGAACCAUCUGCGCACGCUUUACGCCCAGUAAUUCCGAUUAACGCUUGCACCCUCUGUAUUACCGCGGCUGCUGGCAC
rnacentral:rRNA from 2 species